UUGUUCACUUUGGCAGCACAUAUACUAAAAUUGGAACCACACAGAGAUUAGCAUGGCUCCUGCACAAGGAUGACACAUAAAUUUGUGAAACAUUCCAUAUUUAA
rnacentral:snRNA from 1 species